rnacentral:misc_RNA from 1 species
GGAUCGAUCCAACGACCGUGCCGCCAUUCGCCUUCACCACGUUCGCCGUGUCGCUCUCAAGCGCAUGUCCAAACGCAUAGUCCGCUGUGAGGAAAUACCAAGUAUUCAAGCCUUCCUUGAUAAGUGCCUUUCCGGUGCCUUGGGCCAGCGCAUAGGUAUCGUAAGCAUAAUGGAUGCUGUUUGGGGUGCAGGAAUCGUUUGUCAGUCGUGAUGAGCCGGACCCGUUGACGAUGGCGAUUCGGUUUUUCUCCUGUGCGACGUUGGUGACUGCCAAUGCGAUUGAUGAGUUGAAAUCAGGUCGACUUUGGUGACGUCGUACCACUCACGCGCCUUGGCAAUCGCCACCUCGUUGCGGUUCUGGUGAUCGGCGACGAUCACCUCAAUGGGCUUGCCGAGUAC